rnacentral:piRNA from 1 species
UGCCUGAUCUACAGACAUGAAACCCCAGCCU